AAAAAGGUAAGCUAAAUAAGCUUACAGGUUCAUACCCUGUCUAUAAAAGUAAAGCCUUUUCCUUUUUA
rnacentral:tRNA from 1 species